GCCUGGGUGGCUCAGCUGGUUAAGCAUCUGACUUCAGCUCAGGUCAUGAUCUUGAAGUUUGUGGGUUCAGCCCCACAUCAGGCU
rnacentral:tRNA from 1 species